GAUGAACGCUGGCGGCGUGCCUAAUACAUGCAAGUCGAGCGAACAGACGAGGAGCUUGCUCCUCUGACGUUAGCGGCGGACGGGUGAGUAACACGUGGAUAACCUACCUAUAAGACUGGGAUAACUUCGGGAAACCGGAGCUAAUACCGGAUAAUAUAUUGAACCGCAUGGUUCCAUAGUGAAAGACGGUUUUGCUGUCACUUAUAGAUGGAUCCGCGCCGCAUUAGCUAGUUGGUAAGGUAACGGCUUACCAAGGCGACGAUGCGUAGCCGACCUGAGAGGGUGAUCGGCCACACUGGAACUGAGACACGGUCCAGACUCCUACGGGAGGCAGCAGUAGGGAAUCUUCCGCAAUGGGCGAAAGCCGGACGGAGCAACGCCGCGUGAGUGAUGAAGGUCUUCGGAUCGUAAAACUCUGUUAGUAGGGAAGAACAAAUGUGUAAGUAACUAUGCACGUCUUGACGGUACCUAAUCAGAAAGCCACGGCUAACUACGUG
rnacentral:rRNA from 1 species